rnacentral:rRNA from 1 species
AACGAACGCUGGCGGCAGGCUUAACACAUGCAAGUCGAACGGAUCCUUCGGGAUUAGUGGCAGACGGGUGAGUAACGCGUGGGAACGUACCCUUUGCUACGGAAUAACUCAGGGAAACUUGAGCUAAUACCGUAUGUGCCCUACGGGGGAAAGAUUUAUCGGCAAAGGAUCGGCCCGCGUUGGAUUAGCUAGUUGGUGGGGUAAUGGCCUACCAAGGCGACGAUCCAUAGCUGGUCUGAGAGGAUGAUCAGCCACACUGGGACUGAGACACGGCCCAGACUCCUACGGGAGGCAGCAGUGGGGAAUAUUGGACAAUGGGCGCAAGCCUGAUCCAGCCAUGCCGCGUGAGUGAUGAAGGUCUUAGGAUUGUAAAGCUCUUUCACCGGUGAAGAUAAUGGCGGUAGCCGGAGAAGAAGCCCCGGCUAACUUCGUG